rnacentral:ncRNA from 1 species
AGCAUAAUUCGGCAAAGUAGGCGAAAGCCUAUGACGCAAAGCUACAGGGCCUUUCAACUGGCAGCCAGCUGCAAAA